rnacentral:lncRNA from 1 species
GAAUUAUGUGGCUCCUUCAUGUACUUUUUGAUUGAACAGUGAUAACUCAGAUAAUACAUUAUCCCGUGCCCCUCUCUGAGAGGAACCUGCCUUUUUUUUUUUUUUUUUUUCUUUUUUUUUUUUUUUUUUUUUUUUUUAACAGAGCAGUGAAAGAAGACUUCAUAGAGGCAUUUAAAGUGACAUCACCAUGCCAAUCCCAACUUACUACAACCGGCGAGAAGCAACUGCUAGACCAGAUUAAAUACGACGAAGGCAGGGAAAGAAUAUCUGACCCUCAGGAACUUCCAUGGUGGGAGCCAGGAACCUUCAGUUGCUGAACUUUGUUCUGAGGAUUUGCACCAAAUUGAUGAUUGCUACACCUGCAAAGCCUUACCUAUCAAAUUGAGUUAGCAUGAACCAGAUCGCAAUUGCAACUAAACUUAUCAACCUCCAGGAAACUCAGCCUGCUGCCACCAAAAUACAAGAGCUAAGAUUUAAUAAAAGAAUCCUGAACAGAAAACACCUCAGACUCAUUCUUCUGUGCAAGGAGCCCGACUUGCAGAGUCCAAAGGAAUGCUGGUAAGCAUUUUCCUCACCAGGAGGAUGUUAGCACCAGAACAUUUACUCAGUGAUCCCUUUCAAUCUGCAAAAUAUAUAGCCAAUUGUCCUGGAGGAGCUCUUUUGUUUUCAAAGGGUGAAAUGGUUUUAAGCUAGGACAUUUUGUUAAUUCUGUUUCAUUGGGAGCUCAGACUCAAUGUGUCCCUUUUAUCUCAAAGGCUCCCAAAGUCCUCAAAAAGUUAUGUGCCAGGCGAUAACUUGUCAUCUGAAGACCGGCCCCCUCUGAAGUGCGGGUCUGAAUUGAGUCUCAAAUCUAAUAUUGAUUGUAACUCAAAAGCACCAUGGGAUUGGUUAGAGUCACUGCACAACCAACAAAGAAAGCCUUAGUUUCCAACUUUUUGUACACGGGAUUAGGUCUAUCAGCACUUGCA